GAUGAAAUGUCCAAACAGCAAAAUUUAAUUUUGAAAGUUUCAUUGAAAAUGACCAAGUCGUGAGGUAUGGUUGUCCACAUGUAUAAAUCAAGAGUACAAUAUCUAUUUAAUGACUUUUCUGAUCCCUUUGAGUGUCAUGCUGAAAACAACUUUAAUCUUUUCUUUUAGGUGGAGAAAACUGUAUGAAGCACUAAGAAUCUUAAGGUGCUAGCUUUAAAAGCACUAGCAAGUCACUUUGGAGGGUAUUUCAACUACAAUAAUAAUGAGUUUUUGGAUAUAACCAAAUUAGAUCUUAAAAAGCUUGCCAAAUGUUUCGGAUUUGAAACACUCCCACGUCUGCCGAAUGUUGUACAGAGGCAGUUAGAUGAAGCCCUUGGUCCACAAAAAGACCAAAACGUCAGAGCGUACAAUGCCCCAAGUAAAUUGCAGCACCGUAAGGGAAAAUUAUACAACACUAAUACUAAACCACAAUACCAAAAAGGAAAAUCAUACAGUGGCAUGACUAAGCCACCGCAAAAAAUGGAGAAAUCUUACUAAGGUGUAAGCAAGGUAAAACACCAAAAGGGAAAAUUCCCAAAGGGUAAGAAAGCUGUAAAACCAAAAGAAGCCACUUAAAGAGAAUGACGAAGAUACACAGUUUUCUAUUUACAUCCUUAUAGAAGUUAAAGAUGGACCUGGGGAGAAGUGUACCGAGAUGGUGAAUUUAUGCAUAAACAAUGGGUAAGUCAGGAAUGCACUGAUAGCAAUUUGAUUAAUAAGGUACAGGGAUCGAGCAAAGACACGAAAGGGAGUAUUGCAGUUAGUAGGAAAUACUUAUAUGAUGUAUAUGUUUGAGGAAGUUUUGAUGAUAACUAUUGAGAUUCUAGCACUGCUGUAUUUGUAAUUAUUUGAUAUUUUGUAAAAUACUUUACACAUGCAUAUAUGUACAUUGAUUUUUUAUUUGCAAAGGUUGUACUUUGCAAGAAUGUUGUUGAAUAUUAUAAAUAAAUACAGAGCAGUAAUUCAUA